AUUUUUGGGGGUGGGCGUAGGUGAGAUUUAGCAAAUCCCAAAGUCUAAUCCAGCUUUCCCGCUGUUGCGAGAAAGUCUUUGUAUUAAUAAAGUCUGUGUUAGUGGAGGGUGAGGUGACGUNCCNNGGAGANGNCNCNGUUG
rnacentral:rRNA from 1 species